UACGUAGGGGGGCUAGCGUUGUCCGGAAUCAUUGGGCGUAAAGAGCGUGUAGGCGGUCCGGUAAGUCCGCUGUGAAAGUCGGGGGGCUCAACCCUCGAAUGCCGGUGGAUACUGUCGGGCUAGAGUGCGGAAGAGGCGAGUGGAAUUCCUGGUGUAGCGGUGGAAUGCGCAGAUAUCAGGAGGAACACCAAUGGCGAAGGCAGCUCGCUGGAACGGUACUGACGCUGAGGCGCGAAAGCGUGGGGGAGCGAACAGG
rnacentral:rRNA from 1 species